rnacentral:rRNA from 1 species
UAUGUUAUAGGGACAGUCGGGGGCAUCAGUAUUCAAUUGUCAGAGGUGAAAUUCUUGGAUUUAUUGAAGACUAACUACUGCGAAAGCAUUUGCCAAGGAUGUUUUCAUUAAUCAGGAACGAAAGUUAGGGGAUCGAAAACGAUCAGAUACCGUCCUAAUCUUAACCAUAAACUAUGCCGACUAGGGAUCGGACGAUGUUAUUUUUUGACGCGUUCGGCACCUUACGAGAAAUCAAAGUGCUUGGGCUCCAGGGGGAGUAUGGUCGCAAGGGUGAAACUUAAAGAAAUUGACGGAAGGGCACCACCAGGGGUGGAGCCUGCGGCUUAAUUUGACUCAACACGGGGAAACUCACCAGGUCCAGACACAAUGAGGAUUGACAGAUUGAGAGCUCUUUCUUGAUUUUGUGGGUGGUGGUGCAUGGCCGUUCUUAGUUGGUGGAGUGAUUUGUCUGCUUAAUUGCGAUAACGAACGAGACCUUAACCUGCUAAAUAGCCCGUAUUGCUUUGGCAGUACGCCGGCUUCUUAGAGGGACUAUCGGCUCAAGCCGAUGGAAGUUUGAGGCAAUAACAGGUCUGUGAUGCCCUUAGAUGUUCUGGGCCGCACGCGCGCUACACUGACGGAGCCAGCGAGUACUUCCUUGGCCGAAAGGCCCGGGUAAUCUUGUUAAACUCCCUCGUGCUGGGGAAGAAACUAAAAAAAAAAAAAAC